GAAAGAAGUUAGAUAACGUUCAGUUAAUAACUUGACUUGUUCUGCAGACGUGGCAAAUAACAAUUGUGGUUUUUCUUCUUUUCAUUGUUGUUUUUAGUUAUUCCUCAUAGCUGUACUAUUUCUCUAUUUGUUUUUGUGCUAUAUUUCCAUGAAGAUUGCUGCUUUGCUCCAUCGCCCUGGAGAUCUUCACCAACGAUGGCCGCAACCACGUGAUGCUGGCCUUCCCGCCCAACGUCCUUAGCAACAAGGUCUACCAGCGGUUGCUGGACAAGUGCACAGGACUUUCGGACUCGGUCAGCCUGUCAAUGGCCGGCUAUAGAAGCGGGUGGUGAGGUUUUGGUGUCGGGUGACGUUGCCAGGGAAGGACCGGAUCGUCUGGGAUUUGUCGCGUUUGACUUUUAUCCGCGCCAGUUGACGGGGCACAACGCGCCGCUGGCGGCCAUCGACAUCAACGACCUGACGGGCGACAUCGCCAGCCUCUGCUCGGGCACUUUGCUCCACCUCUGGUCCAUCAACAGUGACCCGCUGGCCAGCGUACACACCCUUGGUCGGCCAGAUCGGCCGCUCGCAGUUGACGAGUUCCCAACGAGGAAAGGUCGGCACAAGUGAGAACGGAAGAUGUGGCCCAGGCCCCUAAACACGAAAAGCCCGACAGCAGUAAACACUUCUUCACCCGUCACAGCCCAACCGAAGGAGGGGGAGAACCCAGCACUGCUGGAACAACAAGAACAAACUUGUGGUGGCACUUGCGAGCAGAUCGCUAUGUUGCUCCAGUUUCGUGCCAUCGCUCCGCUGUGCGCUUUGUUAGAGGCCAAGGAUCACAGCAAGACCGAGCAAGACUAUCUCAGUCGUGUUGGAUAUGGUUUGGUUUUUAGGAAUGUUGGUUUUUAGCUAAUAUUUUGGCCGCAGCCGAGAAAAUUGGCGAACUGGAGAAGAAAUUAAGUUAAGCGCUUGCCCAUUCUGGAGCAGUACUUCUCAAAUUACAGGGAUCAAGAUUCCGAGUUGGCGCAGAGUGGCAAUGACGAAUUCAACAAUCAGCCAUCUCCCCCCCCCCCUCGAAUAAGGAAGUUUUAUAAAAAAUAUAAUUUUUCUGCUUUU